rnacentral:rRNA from 1 species
GACGUAGGGCGCAAGCGUUGUCCGGAAUUAUUGGGCGUAAAGAGCUCGUAGGCGGUCUGUUGCGUCCGCUGUGAAAACUCGGGGCUUAACCCCGAGCCUGCAGUGGAUACGGGGCAGACUAGAGGUAGGUAGGGGAGAAUGGAAUUCCCGGUGUAGCGGUGAAAUGCGCAGAUAUCGGGAGGAACACCAAGUGGCGAAGGCGGCGACCUGGGAAGAUACUGACGCUGAGAUGCGAAAGCGUGGGGAGCAAACAGG